UACAGAGGUCUCAAGCGUUGUCCGGAAUUAUUGGGCGUAAAGGGCUCGUAGGCGGUCUGUCGCGUCGGGAGUGAAAACUCAGGGCUUAACCCUGAGCCUGCUUCCGAUACGGGCAGACUAGAGGUAUGCAGGGGAGAACGGAAUUCCUGGUGUAGCGGUGAAAUGCGCAGAUAUCAGGAGGAACACCAGUGGCGAAGGCGGUUCUCUGGGCAUUACCUGACGCUGAGGAGCGAAAGUGUGGGGAGCGAACAGG
rnacentral:rRNA from 1 species